UAUACAUGCAGUCGAGCGGACCAAUAGAAAAACUUGCUUUUCUUGAGGUUAGCGGCGGAGGGUGAGUAACACGUGGGCAACCUACCUGUAAGACUGGGAUAACUUACGGAAACGUGAGCUAAUACCGGAUAGUUUCACUUCUCGCAUGAGAAGUGAAGGAAAGAUGGCUUUUAGCUAUCACUUACAGAUGGGCCCGCGGCGCAUUAGCUAGUUGGUGGGGUAAAGGCCUACCAAGGCAACGAUGCGUAGCCGACCUGAGAGGGUGAUCGGCCACACUGGGACUGAGACACGGCCCAGACUCCUACGGGAGGCAGCAGUAGGGAAUCUUCCGCAAUGGACGAAAGUCUGACGGAGCAACGCCGCGUGAGCGAAGAAGGUCUUCGGAUCGUAAAGCUCUGUUGUUAGGGAAGAACAAGUACCGGAGUAACUGACGGCACCUUGACGGUACCUAACCAGAAAGCCACGGCUAACUACGUGCCAGCAGCCGCGGUAAUACGUAGGUGGCAAGCGUUGUCCGGAAUCAUUGGGCGUAAAGCGCGCGCAGGCGGUCCUUUAAGUCUGAUGUGAAAUCUUGCGGCUCAACCGUAAGCGGUCAUUGGAAACUGGGGGACUUGAGUGCAGGAGAGGAAAGCGGAAUUCCAUGUGUAGCGGUGAAAUGCGUAGAGAUAUGGAGGAACACCAGUGGCGAAGGCGGCUUUCUGGCCUGUAACUGACGCUGAGGCGCGAAAGUGUGGGGGAGCAAACAGGAUUAGAUACCCUGGUAGUCCACGCCGUAAACGAUGAGUGCUAAGUGUUGGAGGGUUUCCGCUCUUCAGUGCUGCAGCUAACGCAUUAAGCACUCCGCCUGGGG
rnacentral:rRNA from 1 species